CUGCGCGCUGCGUCAGGGGCGUCUGCGCGGCCGGCGCGUCGGCGGAAAGCAGCGGCGUCCCGGCGGGGGCUGUGGUCCCGGCGUCCCGGGCCGUCCUCGCCAGACCCCCCAGAUAGACACUAGGAACCAAGGCUCGUAGGCAGGUGUGCGCAGCCAAGCUCAGGACCACACCGGCUCGGGCAAGUACUGCAGAGAGAUUUAUGUUAAGGAAAAUAUCUCAGGACUCUACGAAGCUGUAUGUAGAAAGAUGUUUACUGCAGUGUAAUACUUCUACACACAAAAAUGAGAGAAAGGUCUGGAAAGAAACAAAGUGCUAUUAAAGUUAUUUUCUUUUAAAAAUGAAA